rnacentral:ncRNA from 14 species
GGUGAUGAGGAAAAUUUCGCUAGCUGAAGUGAAAGAUGAUGAAUACCCUCGCAACCGAGC